UACAGAGGGUGCAAGCGUUGUUCGGAAUUAUUGGGCGUAAAGCGCGUGUAGGCGGCUUUGCAAGUCGGGUGUGAAAUCCCUCAGCUUAACUGAGGAAGUGCGCCCGAAACUGCCGAGCUUGAGUACCGGAGAGGGUGGCGGAAUUCCCCAAGUAGAGGUGAAAUUCGUAGAUAUUGGGAAGAACACCGGUGGCGAAGGCGGCGACCUGGUCCGAUACUGACGCUGAGGCGCGAAAGCGUGGGGAGCAAACAGG
rnacentral:rRNA from 1 species